rnacentral:misc_RNA from 1 species
AACGCACAUUGCGCCCGCCAGUAUUCUGGCGGGCAUGCCUGUUCGAGCGUCAUUUCAACCAUCAAGCGCCUCGCUUGUGUUGGGGCCCUGCGGCUGCCGCAGGCUCCUAAAUCCAGUGGCGGGCUCGUCGUGGUACCGAGUGCAGUAAACAUCCUCGCUCAGGGAACUCGACGGGUGCCGGCCGUGAAACCCCCCCUCCUUAAGGUUGACCUCGGAUCAGGUAGGAAUACCCGCUGAACUUAA